GGGCAUUAUUGGUAGGUCCACUAAACUAUGUUAUUGUUCGUAUGUCAUACAUAUAUAGAUGUUUUUUUAUUGAGUUCGAUUUCUUCUACGAAGUUUACAAAAUUGGUUACCUUCCACAAGUCUUUGCGUAUCAUUUCUUCACAACUUACUCCUUUUGGUCAACAGUACCAACAACUUUAAUUUCAAGCAUCUUCCGCCUCUUCUUCUUCUGCACUGCGUUUACUUUGUGUGACCAAAAAUCCAAACUAAAGAUAUGGAGGUUCCAAUCUGGCAAUGGUGUUUGAUCGUCAUAGUGAUCAUAUUCUUGGCAAUUGCUUCCCAUUUUCUGGGAAGAAUCUUGUGUAGCCCUCGAGAGAGAAUCGCAGAUAGUAAAGCCGAGAAAAAACAUGGACCAGCCGAAGCAGACAAGACUGCGAAAGGUGGCUCCGACCAACUCGUGUGAUGAUCUCAAAGAGCAUGCAUAUAUCGUCAAGUUUGGUUUGUAAUUU